GUUCCACUUCCUGUUUCGGGUGACAUAUUGGGCUUAUCUGUUGUCAAGAUGUCCCAAGACAUUGGACUUCCUUGGGAACUAUAAGCUCACACAAACCCCUCCUUCUUUAGACGAAGUUUACUGCCUCUGCCCAGCCCGCAGCCACUGACGGGUCUCACUGAGUCAGCCCAUCUGACCACGCUGAGACCUUCUGGAAAACACAGCCGAGGAUCCUUCACUCACGCUCUCAGCUCCCUUUCUGCUCCUAGCCUCUAACCAGCAGAGGUCUCGGGCCAUCACACCAUGCCUCAGUCACUCCAUCUAUUCUUCAGUGGUACCCAGAGCAUGGCCCUCAGGCCUGGUCCUCCUCCCUCAGCCCAGGUUGCCUUAAUGCCUCUACUUAACUCCUCUUCACCUGGGUCUCAGUCCAAGGCACCAACUCAAAGAACCCUUGCCCACGGAGUGAGGAGGGUGUGGAGGCCUCCACGACACAGUGCUCUCCUUCACAUUGUACGGUUCUGAGUCUCAACUACUGUAAACAGGCAUGCAGCUAUCGCCACAAUCCAGUUUCGUUCUCUCCAGUGUCUAUGAAGAGAAAUCUACGUGGAGCCUCCUGUCUGGUUCUAUUCACUUAACACGAUGCAUUUGAGACUCA